rnacentral:rRNA from 1 species
CAGGGAUUGCCUCAGUAACGGCGAGUGAAGCGGCAAUAGCUCAAAUUUGAAAUCUGGCUCUUUCAGGGUCCGAGUUGUAAUUUGUAGAGGAUGCUUCGGGUGUGGCUCCGGUCUAAGUUCCUUGGAACAGGACGUCAUAGAGGGUGAGAAUCCCGUAUGUGACUGGAAGCCUUCGUCCAUGUGAAGCUCCUUCGACGAGUCGAGUUGUUUGGGAAUGCAGCUCAAAAUGGGUGGUAAAUUUCAUCUAAAGCUAAAUACUGGCCAGAGACCGAUAGCGCACAAGUAGAGUGAUCGAAAGAUGAAAAGCACUUUGGAAAGAGAGUUAAAAAGUACGUGAAAUUGUUGAAAGGGAAGCGCUUGCAACCAGACUUGCUCGCGGUUGCUCAGCCGGUGUUCUCACCGGUGCACUCUUCCGCGAUCAGGCCAGCAUCGGUUUGGGCGGCUGGAUAAAGGCUCUGGGAAUGUGGCUCCCCUCGGGGAGUGUUAUAGCCCAGGGUGCAAUGCAGCCCGCCCGGAUCGAGGACCGCGCUUCGGCUAGGAUGCUGGCGUAAUGGUUGUAAGCGACCCGUCUUGAAACACGGACCAAGGAGUCUAACAUCUAUGCGAGUGUUUGGGUGUCAAACCCAUGCGCGUAAUGAAAGUGAACGGAGGUGAGAACCCUUAAGGGUGCAUCAUCGACCGAUCCUGAUGUCUUCGGAUGGAUUUGAGUAAGAGCAUAGCUGUUGGGACCCGAAAGAUGGUGAACUAUGCCUGAAUAGGGUGAAGCCAGAGGAAACUCUGGUGGAGGCUCGCAGCGGUUCUGACGUGCAAAUCGAUCGUCAAAUUUGGGUAUAGGGGCGAAAGACUAAUCGAACCAUCUAGUAGCUGG